rnacentral:misc_RNA from 1 species
UCUCCGUAGGUGAACCUGCGGAGGGAUCAUUACAGAGUUCAUGCCCUCACGGGUAGAUCUCCCACCCUGUGUUAUUAUACUUUGUUGCUUUGGCAGGCCGCCCGCGUGGGCUACCGGCUCCAGCUGGUAAGUGCCUGCCGGAGGACCCCAAACUCUGAAUAUUUUAUUGUCUGAGUACUAUAUAAUAGUUUAAAACUUUCAACAACGGAUCUCUUGGUUCUC